ensembl:lncRNA
GUGGUCUGUGGAAGACUGAGCGGUGACCCCACCAUUGAAGUUCAUUUACAUAAUGGUGUAGACGUUUGGAAGAAAGAAAUGAGAAGGACCGCACUGCCCACACUCCAAGUCCUCUUGCCCUGAAAACCGCAUCUGACCACCAGGACCUCAGGGAAACCAUGGCCUGAUGGAGGAAUAAAGAGAGUGAGAGAGACAGAGAGAGGUGGAGAGGCUUUGGCCCCACAGCAGCUGAUGGUGGUAUUAAGAUAUUAAUUGCUUUUUGACAUUAUUUGGUUGCGGGCGGGUCGGUGAGCCCUUGUUUUACACUGAAGGCCACACAGACUAAAACACACUUCAUUCUGCCUCUGCCUGAAAGCAGCAUUGAGUCUAAUAUGUGAAAUGCUACAAAGGACUGUAAUGAAAUAAAUAUGCUAGGCUUAAUUUCCAAUAUUGCAUGCAAAAACAAAACAAAUGUUCAUA